UUGAUCCUGGCUCAGGAUGAACGCUAGCUACAGGCUUAACACAUGCAAGUCGAGGGGAAACGACAUCGAAAGCUUGCUUUUGAUGGGCGUCGACCGGCGCACGGGUGAGUAACGCGUAUCCAACCUGCCCACCACUUGGGGAUAACCUUGCGAAAGUAAGACUAAUACCCAAUGAUAUCUCUAGAAGACAUCUGAAAGAGAUUAAAGAUUUAUCGGUGAUGGAUGGGGAUGCGUCUGAUUAGCUUGUUGGCGGGGUAACGGCCCACCAAGGCGACGAUCAGUAGGGGUUCUGAGAGGAAGGUCCCCCACAUUGGAACUGAGACACGGUCCAAACUCCUACGGGAGGCAGCAGUGAGGAAUAUUGGUCAAUGGGCGAGAGCCUGAACCAGCCAAGUAGCGUGCAGGAUGACGGCCCUAUGGGUUGUAAACUGCUUUUAUAAGGGAAUAAAGUGAGUCUCGUGAGACUUUUUGCAUGUACCUUAUGAAUAAGGACCGGCUAAUUCCGUGCCAGCAGCCGCGGUAAUACGGAAGGUCCGGGCGUUAUCCGGAUUUAUUGGGUUUAAAGGGAGCGUAGGCCGGAGAUUAAGCGUGUUGUGAAAUGUAGAUGCUCAACAUCUGAACUGCAGCGCGAACUGGUUUCCUUGAGUACGCACAAAGUGGGCGGAAUUCGUGGUGUAGCGGUGAAAUGCUUAGAUAUCACGAAGAACUCCGAUUGCGAAGGCAGCUCACUGGAGCGCAACUGACGCUGAAGCUCGAAAGUGCGGGUAUCGAACAGGAUUAGAUACCCUGGUAGUCCGCACGGUAAACGAUGGAUGCCCGCUGUUGGUCUGAAUAGGUCAGCGGCC
rnacentral:rRNA from 1 species